CAGGUCUUGACAUCCUCUGACAAUCCUAGAGAUAGGACGUUCCCCUUCGGGGGACAGAGUGACAGGUGGUGCAUGGUUGUCGUCAGCUCGUGUCGUGAGAUGUUGGGUUAAGUCCCGCAACGAGCGCAACCCUUGAUCUUAGUUGCCAGCAUUCAGUUGGGCACUUUAAGGUGACUGCCGGUGACAAACCGGAGGAAGGUGGGGAUGACGUCAAAUCAUCAUGCCCCUUAUGACCUGGGCUACACACGUGCUACAAUGGAUGGUACAAAGGGCUGCAAGACCGCGAGGUUUAGCCAAUCCCAUAAAACCAUUCUCAGUUCGGAUUGCAGGCUGCAACUCGCCUGCAUGAAGCCGGAAUCGCUAGUAAUCGCGGAUCAGCAUGCCGCGGUGAAUA
rnacentral:rRNA from 2 species